AGUGGAAAUGUGUGUCCUGCCUCUGCUGCCUGUGGCUGUCAGUGGAAAGUUGCCCAAUCGAGAGCGGAUUCCACUCAGCCCUCUUGAAAGGCAUUUUGUGCCUCCUUUUGUAGCAUUGCUGAUGCGAGUAGCUGGGAGAGUAAACAAAGUUUCCUCCACAGCUUCCGUGCUUCACUUCUGCCAUCUGGCUGGAACCUGCUGCGGGAGCUGUGGCAUCCCAGCCUUCUUUCUUCUCUCCCAGUGUGCAAGGUGGGGAUGUAAUUUUACCAGCAGCAUCACCCCAGACGUUUUGCAUAUGCUUUUUUACAUUUGGGGGCAAAUGGAUGUAAUGUAUGUAAGUCAUGUUAAAUAAGAAAUACAGUGCUUGUAGAUUUACCUGCACAGCUGGCAGAAGGAACGUGUGUGUCGCAGUGGGAAUAGCUAUCGAAUGCAGUUAGCUUUGAUGCAAAUACUAAAAGCAAAGCAUAAGUGAUUUUGCAGCUUAAUGUUCAGCACUAAGCAGUAAAUGAAAGGUCAGUCCAGCACAUUAACUGUUGUGGAAUUGUAAACACCACCUUAAUUGCUACAUACAGUCAGCGUGGAGAUGUAGUGUCUGUUGUACUUUGAGCAGCACGGUCCCUAAUCAGGACAAGGCUCCUUCUCCUGAUUACCUUCCCCACUCAAAUGACAAAGCCUCAAAUUAAAGGAUAAACUGGGGCUUUGCAUACUGGGAGUUUGUGCUUUGAAUGCUUAAAGUCACUCCACGGAAGAAGUACAGGUCAUUUCUUGAUCUGACUGGAGCUGAAAUCCAGGUUGAAGGGAGAUUUUGCAUUUUCUUGAGGUUCUCCUUUCUUGCUCUUCAUUCUGAAGUGCCAAAGCAGUUCAUGUUGCACUGUCACACAAUUUUAGUUUGCCUGUAGCAUAUGGAAGACAGAGCAGAAAAGGAAGAAGAUCAUGGGAAAGGGCUGCUGCUAUGCUUUCCCCCAGAUAAGUGAGUUGGGAGCUUAGCAUACAGCACACCAUGUGCAUCAGCAUAGGACUCCCAGCCUGCAGCAUCCCCACGUUCAUGUUUAUAGGCUAAGGUUCUGCACUGGCAGUGGUUCUGCCUUUGCUUUUGCACUGAAAACAUGGAAGGCGGGGGGGGGGGGGGGGGGGGGGGCUAUACAGGGAUACUCACACACAUUGCCCAGUAUUCUCUAUUGUAAGGCAAGUGGGUAUGGCCAUAGGGUGCCACAACAACUUACUGGCUCCAAGUUACACAAAGGGUAGCUCCAAGACUUGCCAUACUGUUGCAAGAAAGAAAGAAAGAGAUUGGUUGAGUUUUUCAUGCUGGAUUUCUGAGCGAGAGAGGAAGAAGAGCUUCACAGAUGCAGUGGUGUAUUCCUGACUCGCUCAGACCUUCAGCUGCUGCCAAAAGACAUCGCUGUUGGCCACUGGGCCAUGUUUGGUCCUGUCUGCUUUAUCCUAACUGUGCUGGGUUUUGGCUCGGUGUCUGGGGGACCAUCCUAGUCCCCAGCGUGACCUGGCUGUAUCAGUGGGGAACGUGUAGGAAAUGGCUGUAGUGAGGGUAGCAAGGUCUUGCUGGGAUUAGUGCAGUUGUCUUGGAUGUUGUGAGAAACCAGCAGUCUGCUCUGGUCGCAUAGGGUGGUGGUGAGUGUUAGAGCUGAGAGAACGGGGCUGCACUGUGCUUAGGUAGGAGUGAAGGUCCCUGUGAGGGCAUUAAGGGCGUACAUCAACUACAGGUUCUCAAGCAAAGCAAAGUUGUCCUGCCCUACAGACUUGUUUCUUGUCUGGAGCAGUGAGUCCUACCACUGGCGUGCCAAGGAGAGAAGAACGUUCUUUCUCCUCCUCCUCCUCUUCACUCUCCCUUUGCACUAAUACACUGGAGCCUGAGUUAAGGACACUUAAUCCCAUUCUUGGAACCAGGACUAUUUAUAGGCUGGGUCAGCGCUGAAAGACUCCACUGUUUUCUUCUAAAAACAAAUGCUUGUUCUGUGCUGCACGUCAAGUGCAAUCACUGCUGAAUGGGCUGACACGCGAAGCCAAGUUCUCAACUGAGUUGGCACAGCUCCACUGCUUGCGGUGGGUGUAUGGCACGCUGUGCUGGUCGGGAAUUCAGCCCACUGUGUUUGAAGGGGGUGAAAUUGUUUUGAGCUCCUUUCUGUAGGGUGCCUCAGGUCCGAGAAGCAUUGUGCAUCCAGUGUGAGCCCUCAGCAGACCCUGCCUGUCCCUCUUUUCUUUCACCGCUGAUGGAAAGUGUCAUUUUCUUUGAUUUGCAACGUGUGCAUUUCUAUGGUAUCUCAGCUCUUUGGGGGGGGACAGACGGACUUUACAAGAAUCAGAUCUGGCUGAUGAGAUUAAUAAUAAUGCAAAUGUCAAAUGUUGGCCACCGAUGUGCUUGUUGUCACAAGGGCUUGCCACAGUACUGCGUAUUGUGUCCAGUCUCUCUUGUAGGAAAUCCAACUGAUGAUUUGUUUUGGACCUGUGCCUGUUCUGAUUAAACUGGAGAGAGUG
ensembl:lncRNA